GCUGGUAAGAUUGGCAAGUGUCUACAAUGAUUUCAGCUUUUGAAUAUUCCUUCUCACUGUAGAAUGAUGGACUUUAAAUUGUUUGGAAAUGGCCUUACACCCUUCCCAGUUUGAUGGGCAGCAACAAUUACUUCUCUAAGAUCAUUGCUGAUGUAUUUCCUUCUUGGCAUUGUGUUAACACACACCAGAAUUCUCCAGACACGCAAACUGCUAAAACUUUGGCUUUUAUAG